rnacentral:rRNA from 1 species
UACGUAGGGCGCAAGCGUUAAUCGGAAUUACUGGGCGUAAAGGGCGCGUAGGCGGCCUGUUAAGUCGAACGUGAAAUCCCCGGGCUCAACCCGGGAACUGCGUCCGAUACUGGCAGGCUUGAAUCCGGGAGAGGGAUGCGGAAUUCCAGGUGUAGCGGUGAAAUGCGUAGAUAUCUGGAGGAACACCGGUGGCGAAGGCGGCAUCCUGGACCAACAUUGACGCUGAGGAGCGAAGGCUAGGGGAGCAAACGGG